rnacentral:rRNA from 1 species
CCAUGCAUGUUGACUGAAAGCAAUGGAAGGACAGACGGCUCAGUAAGACUGCGAUGAUUUGGUCUGGUUGGUUUGAUAACUAUUGGAAACGAUAGCUAAGAGAGCAGAAUAAGUUGCAGACCUAUCAGCUAGUUGGUAGUGUAAAGGACUACCAAGGCGAUGACGGGAAACGGGAAAUCAGGGUUUUAUUCCGGAGAGGGAGCCUGAGAGAUGGCUCCCACGUCCAAGGACGGCAGCAGGCGCGAAAAUUGCCCACUCAUUGUUGUGGAGGCAGUUAUGAAACGUGAGAAGAUCGA